rnacentral:lncRNA from 1 species
AUGGGAUUAUGCGAAUGCCCGACUGAUAUGAAAAGUGAUAAGUUAGAUACAUCUAAUGAUUGUAAAAUUUUUAAAAAUGUUGAUGAUAUUUAUGCGUUUAAAAUACAUAUAGAAACAGAUAAUGUGAGUACAUCAAAGAGCACAAAAGUAAGUAAUAAAAAUGUUUUAACAAGAUGGAUUUUAUUUAAAAUAUUAGUUAAAAAAUUUAUAUAUGCAUUAUUAUUUUUUUUUUUUUGUAUAACUAUACAAGGUUUUUUUAUGCUAUCUAGUGAUUCUUACUAUAACCCAACCACUUCACCUUUAAAAGAUCGUAUACAUGAUAUAUUCAGAAAUUCACCAACAUGGCUAACCUAUAAUCGUAUAAAUGUUUUAAUGAGUAUUUUGAUGCUAUCAUUUCUCGUGUUGCUUAUAUUUAAUAGUAUAUAUUUAUCAUUACCUAUUGUUUGUCGUUUUUUGUAUAUGAUGGGUGUAUUUUAUUUAUUAAGGGGCCUCGUGAUAUAUGUUACCUCUGUACCUGCUACAGUGAAGGAAUGUGUGGCAUUAGAAAAUGGUAAUUUUUUAUUUAACUUGCUACAGAUACUUAAAUUAAAUUUGGGCCUCGUUUAUGUUUGUACCGAUUUAAUAAUAUCAGGACAUUCAUGUGCGAUUAUAGUAUUUUUAUUAUUUUCACUGUAUUAUACAAAUAAUAUAUGGUUAAAAAUUGUUAUGUUUCUAUUAAGUCUUUCAGUUUCUUUAUUUCUUAUAAUUGGAUUUAUACAUUACACUUCAGACGUUUUAUUGGGAUUUAUGUUUGGAUUUUUUAUAUUUACUUUUUAUCAUAUAAUGAUAGAUAUAUAUAUUUAUUAUUAUAUUAUUAACAAACAGUUUAAUGUAAAACAUAUGUCAAAUAAUAUUAAUAAUAAUUCAACAGCAAAACCAUUUUUUGUGAGAGUUUUUUUUUUAAGAAUGUUUUUAAAAAUAAUCCCUUAUUUGGAUGGUUUAAAUUAUAUAAUAGAUUAUGCAAUGGACAAAGAUAAUGAUAAAACUGCUUUUUGCGAAUGUGAUAACAACAAUGAGCAUUGUAAUAAAAACUCUUUUAUUUAUUUUGAAGGAUCUAAAAAUGAAAAAAAGAUUUCAAUAAACAUAAACGAUCAUUUAUAUCAUAUAUAUGCUGGAGAUGGAAGGUACAAUAUGUCAUUAUUCAAAUUUAUAACCCAUUUUAAAACACUAUAA